CGACGCAUUUAACCCUUUAAGCGGCAGUGUAGCAGAUCUGCUACAAAUAGAAAAGUGCGCGAAUUUUUCGCAGUCUGGGUCUAGUUUCUUCUUUUACCCACAAUGCAAUACAGCCCACGUUGUUGACAUUGUUGUAAUGGCGAAAAUUUUUACCAAAGUGGCUUUUAGACCGAGAAAAUGAUAUCCAAAUCACAGUGAUUUCGGUAAGUUUUAAAGCUCUAAGUUCGUGACAAUGUUCUAUCUUUGUAAAGCGCUCUAGGGUAUAAGUUUUAGUAUAUUAUAAUUUGACAUAAGGCAGUCUUUUCAUAUCGUAUUUGUGUGUUUGUAUAAAUUCGUUUGUAUGUAUUGAAUAAUUUCAUAAAGAUAUUUGUAGCAUAUCUGCUACAUUGCCGCGAAGUGGUCACUGAAGCUCAGAUUACAUGAACACUAUAUUUUUAAUAAAAGACACAACAUGUGCUGUAUUUUACUGCAAUUUCCUUUGAAUAUAGUUGCAACAAGUAAAUAUUUCUUUUGUCUUCAGUAUUGGGCCUCUUGGCUGCAGGUUAAACCAGUUGAACAUUCUAUUCUACCCUGCUUUUUGUGUUUAUGUAUAUAUAUGCUCAUACUGUGUAUAUACUAUGUAUUAGUAAAACUAUUGUAAGCUUGAUUUUAUCCCUUUUCAUCAUGUUCAUGAGCUUCAGUGCUACAGUGGUCAGAUCCAUAUUAAGUUCUCCCCUCUGAAUAUAGUGGCCUCGUUUCUCGGCUGCGAACCCUAUGAGUUUCUCAUGUGAAAAUAAACAAGCGAACACUCUGCCGGAAGUUGUAGGUUUCAUCCCGGUAAUAGGAUUCGUCAUGUUUCCUCAAACAUGAAAAGUUGACACCGAAGCACUAUUACAAUUCAUGUUACAAAUAUAUAGAGCCAUAGUCUAGUAGGGAGUGAGCUGAAUAUUUAUUCCGCCUUCAAGGAUGUUCAUUACAACCCAACAAGGACGGCAAUAAAGCGGUACGUAGCACCAUGGACUUCAAGUCUGAUACAAACAAAGGUCAAUGCCGGGCUGCUCUACUGCAGGCAUUGUGAUCAGUUGAGAAUUCGAAAGAAAUGAAGCUUGUCAUUGCUGGACUUUGUUUUGAAAAUUUCCGAGAGUUUGAUCAGUGCCAACAAAGUUGUUCCCAUGGAAACAACCAGUCGUAAGCCAAGUAGACCAAGCAAAUGAAAAUUGUCUGAGGCAGAUGGUCCAUCAGCAAAGGUUGGUCACAAACCCACCACACCUGUACCAUCAAAUGAUACACAGUAUGACCAACUUGGACAUUGGCCCAACCCCGUGAAUGGUAACCGCAGUCGAUGUCGCCAUUGUAAAGAUGGGCUUUCCAAAAUAUUUUGCGGCAAAUGUAAGAUUUGUCUCUGCUUAGAGAGGGAGAAAACUGUUUUCUGGACAACCAUAAUAAAUAACUUUCAUUGUGAACAAGAACUUUUCUAUAUCUAAUGUUGCGAAUAUAUUAUACUGUAUAUACUAUAUAUAUACUAUAUAUACAAAUAUAUAUAUUUAUAUAUAUACUAUAUAUACUAUAUAUAUUAUAUAUAUAUUAUACAAAUUAUAUAUACUAUAUACACUAUAUACAC